rnacentral:rRNA from 1 species
CGUAGGGUCCGAGCGUUGUCCGGAAUUAUUGGGCGUAAAGGGCUCGUAGGCGGUUCGUCGCGUCGGGAGUGAAAACUCGGAGCUCAACUCCGAGCCUGCUUCCGAUACGGGCAGACUAGAGGUAGGCAGGGGAGGGCGGAACUCCUGGUGUAGCGGUGGAAUGCGCAGAUAUCAGGAAGAACACCGGUGGCGAAGGCGGCUCUCUGGGCCUUACCUGACGCUGAGGAGCGAAAGCGUGGGUAGCGAACAGGAUUAGAUACCCUGGUAGUCCACGCCGUAAACGUUGGGCGCUAGGUGUGGGGGACAUUCCACGUCCUCCGUGCCGCAGCUAACGCAUUAAGCGCCCCGCCUGGGGAGUACGGCCGCAAGGCUA